GUAAACAGCAGAAUGCUUUGCCGUCUGUUUUCUGGAUUAGAGCCAUUUCUCUGAAUGACAUAUCAUAACAUGUCCUCAGGGUACAGAACUGGAAGACAGAUGUAGAGUGAGAAUUUUGUAUGUAUAGAUCUUGACAUUGCAACAGAUGUGAUUUUAGUAAAGAACACUUCAUCUUCAAGAGAAUGUGACUGCAGAGAUGGGGUAGCUUUUGUGGUUCCUGUCUUCAGGUUUGUUUCAUUUCUCUUUCUUUAAUGAGAGGGAUAGUUUCCAUGCUCUUUUGGGUUGAUUCAAUUUUUUCUUUUUUCUAUGAAAAUAGCUUUGUUAUUGAGAAUGGACAACAGUUAAAACUAGAUGGUGAAUUGCACAAACAUGAAGAUGUUCCAAACACACUUCUUGUCCAGAGAGCAAUAUUGUGUUGGAGCCUGCAACCCAUGUAAAUUUUUUCCAGGGUUCGUUUUCUUCACACUUUGAUUUCCUUUCAUCCCAACACGAGGUAGGAGCUUCAGUGGAGAACGCAGCAUAUGGAAUUUCAUAUCUGUUUGCUUUUCAAGGGGUGAACAGAGUUUCUCCAACUUAAAACUAUAAGCUGCUUCCUUGUAAUUUGAAUGACUUAAGUUCCAAACUAAUGGUGGCAGUGAUGUUCAGAUUAACAGCAAUUAGCAGAAUGGACUUUUCAGCUCCUUGCAAAAUUUGCACUUAGAAAUUUCAAUGGGCCGAGACUAGAUUUUGGGAUCAUGCAAUGAAGCAAUUUCAAUGAUAGCCCUUCAUUCUGCAAUGCAGAUUUCAUAUCAGUGGCUUUGAUUUACUCAUUCUCUGCUUGGAUUUCUCAUUGUUUUUUUUUCAAUAGAAGCAAACUGCUUUGCCCUUAAUUUCAAUUCAUGUUUAUGUUAGAUUCAGACUAUAUGAAGUUAGUUCUUCCUCAAGUGAACUGAUUGAUAUUGGAAGCUCAUUGAUCUAAACAAUCAAGGUUCUGAUGCAGCCUCAAGAACCAGAGAUUACAAGUGGAAGGCUUCCUAGGGGAAAGCCCUUGAUCACCUGUUUUCUUUUAGUAUUUUAAGCUUCACAAUCUUCA
rnacentral:lncRNA from 1 species